UCCAAGUUCUGUUUGUGCACCUCUAUGCAUAAGUAUUGCCUUAAAUUUUUUCUGCAGUGUUUGUGAACCUCCAUCUGACAUCUUAAAGACUACAAUUUAAGGAGAAUACCGCUUUUAGAAAGAACCGCUGUAGAAAGAAGCCGGCUCUUCCAGCAUGGCAUUCCAUUGAACCCUGAUGGUUCAGUCAGAAGAGCCCUGACUGUUGGUUUAGUCAGCACAGAGACAUGCUGUUCCCCUGUGGCACCCUUUAGGAAGCUAAGGGAGAUUAUUUAGAGAGGAUAGAAGUUUGAAGAUACGUGAGGUUUUAGAGCUAAAUUCCAGUUAUCUUGGAUCUGUCAGCAGAAGUACUUCACUUUUCUGCACAGCUGGGCAGAGCCUGAUUCCCCGGCUGUGCAGCUCAUGUCUUUGUCUGCCUCUGCCAGGUGGACUGACACCAGGACAGUGUUUUGAGUAACACAUGGUAUUUGUCAGGGAUUAAGUAUUCGUUUUCUCUAGGUAAACUGGAAUUGUGUCCAUGUGUUUCACUGUAAAUACAGCUGUUUACUUAUUAUGCACCUACUUUGUUUUUCCUUUCACGUGGGAGAUAACUCGACAGUGACUGUGAUGGGCAAAACAGACUCAGCGUAGGGAUAUUAAUAUACUUUAUUGCCUAUCACUAACAGCCUAGAGCAACGAGAACUAAAUGAAAACUAAAAUCGCUUCUCCCAAUUCCCUUCCACCUCCCCUCAGGCAGUGCAGGGGAACGGGGCUGCAGUCAAACAUAACGCUUCACAUCCGUCACUCCUUAGUCACUCUCUGUCCCCACCCCACGUGUGCCCUCCCACAAUGCCUUGUUCCCCCAACUGAUCCCACACAGCCUUCCCACCUGCUGUAGCCCUCCCAGCGCGGCUCUGUACGCGCGGUGCCGCAGAGGGACGGCCUGCUCCUCCGUGGGCCUCUCCCGGGCUGCGGGGAGCUGCUGCCGUGUGCCCGGAGCUCCUCCUGCGUCGACCUCGAGCCUGUACAGGAAUGGAAGCCCUUUUAGUGACAUCCAGCCUGGAGCCCUGGGCCCUGUGGUGCUGGAGUUGAUGUUCUACCAAGCAGAGGACCGCUGACAGUGCCAGACAGAGAGGGUGGUUGUCCUUGGCAGCUGAGCUGGUUGACUGCGCUCCCACAGAAAGAAGGCAGAGAUUUACAGUAUUACCAUCUACCAGGUAUUUUUGCCUAUGGCUUGUUCUCUAGCCUCACCAAACUCUUGAGGAGAAGUACUAGGGCUGGAAAUAACAAAUGGCUUAGCUCUCCGCAAAUAUCAACACAUUGUGAAGUUCAUUAUGUGAAUUAGUUCAAAGCAAGCCAGGGCCAGCACUUUGGACAGACUCCCAUGGCUGCCUUGGAAAAAACUGUUGGAUUCUGGCCGUAUAGAGAACAUAAAGUCAA